rnacentral:rRNA from 1 species
UACGUAGGGGGCGAGCGUUGUCCGGAUUUAUUGGGCGUAAAGAGCUCGUAGGCGGUUUGGCAAGUCGGGUGUGAAAACCCCGGGCUCAACUCGGAGACGCCACUCGAUACUGCUAUGACUCGAGUCCGGUAGGGGAGUGCGGAAUUCCUGGUGUAGCGGUGAAAUGCGCAGAUAUCAGGAGGAACACCGGUGGCGAAGGCGGCACUCUGGGCCGGUACUGACGCUGAGGAGCGAAAGCGUGGGGAGCGAACAGG